rnacentral:rRNA from 1 species
GACGAACGCUGGCGGCGUGCCUAAUACAUGCAAGUCGAGCGGACUUUCAUUGGUGCUUGCACCUUUGAAAGUUAGCGGCGGAUGGGUGAGUAACACGUGGGUAACCUACCCUGUAGAUUGGGAUAACUCCGGGAAACCGGGGCUAAUACCGAAUAACACUUUUGAACUCAUGUUCGAAAGUUAAAAGAUGGUUUCGGCUAUCACUACAGGAUGGGCCCGCGGCGCAUUAGCUAGUUGGUGAGGUAACGGCUCACCAAGGCAACGAUGCGUAGCCGGCCUGAGAGGGUGAGCGGCCACACUGGGACUGAGACACGGCCCAGACUCCUACGGGAGGCAGCAGUAGGGAAUCUUCCACAAUGGACGAAAGUCUGAUGGAGCAACGCCGCGUGAGUGAAGAAGGAUUUCGGUUCGUAAAACUCUGUUGCAAGGGAAGAACAAGUAGCGUAGUAACUGGCGCUACCUUGACGGUAUCUGGCCAGAAAGCCACGGCUAACUACGUGCCAGCAGCCGCCGUAA